rnacentral:rRNA from 1 species
GUACACUCCUACGGGAGGCAGCAGUGGGGAAUUUUGGACAAUGGGCGAAAGCCUGAUCCAGCCAUGCCGCGUGCAGGAUGAAGGCCUUCGGGUUGUAAACUGCUUUUGUACGGAACGAAACGGCCUUUUCUAAUAAAGAGGGCUAAUGACGGUACCGUAAGAAUAAGCACCGGCUAACUACGUGCCAGCAGCCGCGGUAAUACGUAGGGUGCAAGCGUUAAUCGGAAUUACUGGGCGUAAAGCGUGCGCAGGCGGUUAUGUAAGACAGUUGUGAAAUCCCCGGGCUCAACCUGGGAACUGCAUCUGUGACUGCAUAGCUAGAGUACGGUAGAGGGGGAUGGAAUUCCGCGUGUAGCAGUGAAAUGCGUAGAUAUGCGGAGGAACACCGAUGGCGAAGGCAAUCCCCUGGACCUGUACUGACGCUCAUGCACGAAAGCGUGGGGAGCAAACAGGAUUAGAAACCCCGGUAGUCCCAUG